CCUUCCGUGUUUGUACACAUAGAGUUGUCCUGACAUGGCAAAAAUGUGUACAUACUAUUACAUCCCGCAUCAACUGUUUCAUCAAAGUUGUUAUCACAAUCUGGAUAUUCAUCACAAAGGUAAACCUCAUCUAUACAUUCUUCAGAAGUGCCACAUCGAAUUUGAUUAGGGAAUGGACAUGCUGAAAGCAAUUAAAACAGGGAUUAGUUAGGUACUAAGUCGGAAACCCAUCGCAGGGUUCCAGCUGUCAAAGCAGAGGGCGUGUGAGUAUGCAUCAAUCAUGUGAUGCACACACAGACCGGAACACAAUCAGGUGUUAU